AAUUGAAUGGUUCUAACGGAUGAUCACUGUUAUAUGACUGAACUACAGCUGUUUAAGGAAAGUUAUGCAGCGCUGUAGCAGUGAGGCGUUCAGGAAUGCUCAGAAAUGUCAGUGAGAAGAUUCUGCGCUCAUCAACAACUCAGGAGAAAAAGAAUAAACAAGAUGGGGUCUAAGCUAUGGAAGAAAAGUCAUGACAGGAUUCGUUUAAUCAGUGGGAGUUAGAGCAGGUGAGACUGGAGUGGAAAAGAUUGUCAGAGGUGCACCAGCCAUGUAAUGAACUACAUCACCAGGCAGAGGGAUCACAAAUCAACUUGCAGCUGCGAGAUCCCCAGCAAGAAUUACAGCAGAGCAGAUGCCCGAUGCUGCUGAAGAACCAUGGAUUUAUGAACAGGAGCUCCCCGACCCGCGGGAGCCGGGGUCCUCCCUGACUCGCU